rnacentral:misc_RNA from 1 species
AACAAGAUCAACUCUAGUUGAGAGUUGGGAUUGACCUUAUGUGCCUCACAUUUGGUUUAAAUAAAUCGAGUUGAUGAGCUUCCCAAUACGGCUCAAUGUGUGCUAGCGAGACAGUCGUCCCGAUCUCACAUUUCGGUCGUGUUGCAGAGUUCUAACCACAAUUCGCUAAAUUCAUUAAUAAUCAAAU